GUUCUACCCAAACUCGAAUGGGU
rnacentral:snRNA from 1 species